ACCGAAUAAGUAUUUGAGAGAGGUGAUUCGACAAGCCAUGACACACAUGUAGCUUAUCAAGGACAUGACCCAAGAUAGGAGGAUAUGGAGGUCAAGAAUUUGGGUGAAAGGUUAAUAGGUAGUCGAGCUUGUCGAGUUCUCUUUAUUUGUACUGUCCUAUUACCUUUUUCUUCGAUUUUAAUUUUUACCUAUUGUGUCUUCUGCUUCGUUUAUCGUACUAUUUGUAGUUGAUGCUACUUUUCUGCAUUAUUUUCUAUAUAGUUUGUUCACUACUAUACUUUCUUUUCUUUACUUUACUUUACUUGAGCCGAGGGUCUAUCAAA
rnacentral:misc_RNA from 1 species